rnacentral:ncRNA from 1 species
ACAGUGCCCCGCUUGCGCGGGGAUAAUAGGGAACCGGGUUGAAAUCCCGGGCGAUCCGGUCACUGUGAGCGGGGAGCGGGCCGCAAACGCCAUUGCAUAUGAAAUGUGAGAAGGCGCGGUCAGGCUGUGAUCCGCGAGCCAGGAAACCUGCUGUCGCA